rnacentral:lncRNA from 1 species
UUUGUGUUUUUCCACAAUGCCAGACUUUUACUGAUGCUAUUUCAAUCACAAAAGCCACGAACUACAUGGAGUUUCCAAGAAAGCAAUUCUCCUUAGUACUUCCCACUCACUCAGCACUCAGAGUCUUGGACACACAGGCUCAAGGCACUCCACAGGUCAAUCAAUAUUGCAAAUCAUGCAUAAUGGUAUACUUAAUCAACAUAUAUAUUAUAGAGUGAACAUUCCACAAACAAAAUAACAUUUAACAUUAAGAGAAAAGAGAUAGGACCCUUUUCUCCUUUAAGUCUGGAGCCCUCAGAAUCAUCUCCUUUCCUUCCUUUUUCCCUCUUUCCUCCCCCAAUUUAUUUUUUAAUCUUUGUGGGACAUGACUUCUAGGAGUGAGACCUGAAUUUCCUGGAAUAAACCAUCCUAGCGACAAGAAACCAGCUCAAAAAAGGAGGAAAAAGCGAACUGAGGCCAGGAACACAUAUUCCUUUUAAAAUGCUUUCUCCAAAAGAUGUUAAAGAAAAAAAGGGGGAAAUGUGAAAGGAAAUUAAAUCUUGGGACCCCAGACUCAUUAAGCCAAAGGGAAAAGUCAAGCUGGGAAGUGGGUCACACAAACCUGCCUCCCGCUUUUGGUUCCUAAAUAAGAUGGCUACAAGAUGGAAAGCUACAUGCCUCCCCCAUAUUUUGCCCACAAGGAAAUUCCUAGUGAGGAAUUUUACUUUCCUAGAAAGGAAAAAAGAAAAGAGAUGAAAAAAUAUAUAUAGGGACUAGGCCAGAUUUAUAGCAACAAAAGGAAAGCAAACCUGGAAGCUGGGUCAAGCUUUAUUAUAUUACUGCCUCCUCAAUUAAAGCAAUUCUCUGGGCAAUCAUUACCUUAGCCCUUUCGGUUGCAUAUUGACUUAUUUGCAAACACGUACUAUAACAACAUUGUAAGCAGAAACAGGACAGAACAUAAAUUAUUCCUUCUAUUAUAAGCAAUAGCUUCUGCCACUAAAUUCCCCAGGAUCCAAACCAACCACUCAAGCAAUGGAUUAGUGAGGGUUUUGGAUCUGACAGUUGCUUAUCUGGGUUUUCAUACUGGUCAUAAUUCAGUUUAUGUUCUUUGAUUCAUCUGGAAUAUACACACAACAUUCAGUUUUUACGGUGGCACAGGUUCCCCUUGUGCUGCCAUGAGUAUAUCUAAAGCCACAUAGUUUUGCAACACAGCUUUCCUCAUAAGCAUGACCUCAUUGCUUAGCAAAGAGGUACUCAUGCAGCUACCAUUUAGGGCCUUUGGGUGUAAUUCGUUAUGGCCUCUAUAUGCCAUAUAACAUCUUCGAUACCUAUCUGUGGUACAAAGAUUGAAGCUAAGUGAUCAUAGCACUGGAAUACCAAACAUGUCCAAUGAGAUUGUAAAUGAAAAAGGUUUGCUGGUUUAAUGGAAGGGUCUGAAUUACUGGGCAACAUAUGGGGGAGGCAUGUAGCUUUUCAUCUUAUAGCCAUCUUAUUUAGGAACCAAAAGCAGGAGGCAGGUUUGUGUGACCCAGUUCCCAGCUCGACUUUUCCCUUUGGCUUAAUGAGUUUGGGGUCCCAAGAUUUAAUUUCCUUUCACAAUAUAUAUAAUCCAUAUUUUCCUUUUCUUUUUUUUCGAGAUGGGGGUCUCACUUUGUCACCCAGGCAUGAUCAUAGCUCACUGUUACCUGGAAUUCUUGGGUUCAAGGGAUCCUCCAGCCUUAGCCUCCCAAGUAGCUGUGACUAUAGAAGCAGGCCACGGUGCCCAGCUAAUUUUUAACUUUUUUGUAGAGACAGGGUCUCACCAUGUUGCCCAAGCUGGUCUCGGAACUCCUGGGCUCAAGUGAUUCUCCAGCCUUGGCCUCCCAAAGUGCUGGGAUUACAAGUGUGAGCCAUGGCACCUGGCUCCAUGUUUUCCACCAGAUUUUUUAACAUUGUAGGGGCCAACAGAAAAGUUCCCCUUUGCCCUCUUAAGAUUCACUGAAAAUUAACUAGCAAAAGGCAGAUUAAUAGGAGAAAAGACAUACAAAUUUAUUUGAUCAUAGUUUUACCUGACAUAGGAGCCUUCAGAAUGAAGACACAGAUGGGAAAUUGUCCAUUUAUAUGCCUAGGUUCAACAAAGUAUGGACAGCUAUGUAGAAAUAGGAUUGGACAAAAAGCGUACUGAUUUAGCGCUAAUAGACUGAGUGGGGAAACCCAGCGAGGCCUGUCUGUCUAGAUUCUUGGCCUCUCUCGGCAGCAUUCCUUCCUUCUGGGUAUGUACAGGACCGUCUUUGGAAUGGGGGUCUUAUGACCUACAAUCUAAAACAAAGUAGCUCAGAUAAUUUAUUCAGAGCCAGUUUUUACACAAAAGCAAGGCGGAAGUUAGAGUAGUUUUUUUUUUUUUUUUUUUUUUUGAGACAGAGUCUUGCUCUGUCGCCCAGGCUGGAGUGCAAUGGUGCGAUCUCGGCUCACUGCAACCUCCACCUCCCAAGUUCAAGUAAUUCUCCUGCCUCAGCCUCCUGAGUAGCGGGGAUUACAGGCACGCACCACCAUGCCUGGCUAAUUUUUGUAUUUUCAGUAGAGACAGGGUUUCAUCAUGUUGGUCAGGCUGGUCUCGAACUCCUGACUUUGUGAUCCACCUGCCUCUGCCUCCCAAAGUGCUGGGAUUACAGGUGUGAGCCACCGCGCCCGGCCUAGAGUAGUAUUUUACAUUUUAUGGCUGGCUUUGGGGAAAAGGGGUUCUCUCUAUGACCCACCUUGAGGAAAAGGGAUUCAGUGUCUGUGGCUAGGCUUGGGGAAGAAUGAAGGGCCAGAGACAGGAAGGCAGAAGGUCAGAGAGAAACUUUUGCUUCUGAGGCUGCUUCAGAGCCUUAAUUUGGGGUAUCAUUUUCUGAGCCCCAACAACAUGUUAAAGUCUCUGUCCAUUAGUUCAAACAUCUGGGUUUGAGUAGCUGGGACGACAGGCCUGCACCACUACACCUGGCUAAUUUUUGUACUUUAAGUAGAGGUGGGGUUUCACCAUGUUGGCCAGGCUGGUCUUGAACUCUUGGCUUCAAGUGAUCUGCCUGCUUUGGCCUCCCAACGUGCUGGGAUUACAGGCGUGAGCCACCGUGCCCGGCCAAGUCAUUGCUUAUAUAACAGAAGAGAAUGAGGUAAAUCAUAUUAAUGCUCGGAAAUGGGCAAGUGUGUUCUGUUAGACCGUCUGCAUGGGGUUUGGUCAAUCUGGUUAGGAAUCAAGCGGGGCUUGGGUUUUUUUUUUGUUUUUUGUUUUUGUUUUUGAGAUGGAGUUUUGCUUUUGUUGCCUACACUGGAGUGCAAUAGUGCGAUCUUGGCUCACCACAACCUCCAGCUCCUGGGUUCAAGCGAUUCUCCAGCUUCAGCCUCCUGAGUAGCUGGGAUUACAGGCAUGCAACACCACACCCGACUAAUUUUAUAUUUUUAGUAGACAUGGGGUUUCUCCAUGUUGGUCAGGCUGGUCUCAAACUCCUGACCUCAGGUGAUCCACCUGCCUCAGCCUCCCAAAGUGCUGAGAUUACAGGCUUGAGCCACCGCACCUGACCUGGGCUUGGGUUUUAUUGCUAUGGUUGCUUUCAAUGUACCACAGAUUUCACCUACUCUAGCAUUAUUCUAUACUGUAGGUUGGGGCUGAAGAACUCAAGUGUUCAUGCUUCAUCCUCAGCUUACAGCUGUCCUGCCUACCUGCACAGUGGUGACUAACUUUCUAGGCCUUUGCCCAUCCCCUAGAAAUGGAUGCUUGUUACUAGCUGCUUGGUAGGCUGGUAGCGGGGUAGAAGUAAAGGGGUUCUCUGUUGUUCUAAUUCAAUUCAGCCUCAGUCCUCAGCAGGCCCUGUGUGGGCCUUAGGAAUAGAUCUUUUCUCGGCAUUCUUGCCCCCCAAAACUGGGCAAGUUCAUUAAAUGAGUGUAAAGAGGAAAGAAGUGUGAGAAAUGAGAUUUGGUAUACUGCAAGGUUGGGAAGAUGGGAAAGAACUAGCAAAGAAUACGGAAGGAAACUUUCUAGCAGGGUAGACAGAAAAUUGUUACUGAAUUAAACUGGGGUCUGCUCACCCAGUGCCACAAAGCCAUUGACAUCAGGCUAGUAGCAAGAGAAAGUGAGGCAUUUUAUUGCAGGGCACCAUGCAAGGAGAAUUGCACAGAUCAUGCUUAAGACCCGAACUCCCAGAUGGCUUAAAGCUACGGGUUUUUAAAGGCAGGGAAAGAGAGGUUACAGGCAAAGUCAUAAAUCAAUACAUAGAGGCUAUACAUUGGUUUGACCUAAAAAGGUGGGACAUCUCAAAGCUGGGAUGGGGGUGGACUCAAAGGUCAUAGGUGGUUUCAAAGAUUUUUUGAUUUAUGAUUAAGGCGGUGAAGCUGUCUAAACUUGGGAUCCACAGAAAAGAAUGUUAGCUCUGGCCGGUGGACAUGACUUCCUCCAGGCCCCUCAGGAAGCAACUUAGAACAAUGAACAGUGGUCAGAGUUCAGUUCUCAGUUUCCCCUUAUCUGAGGUUUAAAGCUGGUGAGAGUUCAGGUUUCUGAAAAGUUGGGGACAUGUAUGUUACCCUUAGUUUCUAUAGGGAACAAAACAUCUCACUCUGACUUCCUUGGCUAUUGUGUUCAGCUACUUCUUGCUUAUCAGGUUGCUCAUUAACUUCUUUGGGCUAGCUAGGUGCCUAGAAUUCCCUUGAAGGAACUCAAGAUUUCCCUUUAUUUCCAUGCAUGGAGGGGCCCACAAGCCUCCUAAAAGGGGGUCCCUGCUCUGCCUCAAAACCAGGAGUGUUGUGUUCUGGAAACCAAGCAAAGCCUUUCAAGAAGGGAGAGAUAAACUGUCAGAUCUACUGAAAAAUUGCAUAGUUAAGGACUGAGAACUGACCCUGUAUUUAAGUGUGGUGAUUGCUGGUGACCUUGACAAGAGCAGUUUCGACCAAGUGGUGGCGGUGAGAGUCUAACUGGAAUGGGUUCAGGUGAGAAUGGAGGAACUGGAAGGUUGAAUUAGGGUUUUUUUUUUUUUUUUUCCCUUGAGACGGAGUCUCGCUCUGCUGCCCAGGCUGGAGUGCCGUGGCGUGAUCUUGGCUCACUGCAAGCUCCGCCUCCCAGGUUCACGCCAUUCUCCUGCCUCAGCCUCGAGAGUAGCUGGGACUACAGGCACCUGCCACCAGGCCCGGCUAAUUUUUUUUAUUAUUUUUAGUAGAGACGGGAUUUCACCUUGUUAGCCAGGAUGGUCUCGAUCUCCUGACCUCGUGAUCUGCCCGCCUCAGCCUCCCAAAGUGCUGGGAUUACAGGUGUGAGCCACCGCACCUGGCCAUUUUUGUUUUUUAAAAAACUUUUACUUAAACAGAGACAAGGUCUUGUUAGGUUUUCCAGUCUUGUCUCAAACUCCUGGCCUCAAAUCAUCCUCUCACCUCGGCCUCCUAAAGCGCUGGGAUUACAGGUGUGAGCGAUCAUGCCCAGUCAGAGUUAGAGGAGUUUUGCUGUACAGGGAGUGGAGAAAUGGAGUGGCAGCUGAAGAGGAGAGUGAGGCCAAUUUCUUUUUUAAGAUGAGAGAAAUCACAUGCUAAUGGAAAAGGGAAGGAGGGAGCUGCCGAUGCUAUCUGUGAAUAGGUAAGAGGAUGAGCUUCAGUGUUAAGAGGUGGGGCUGGGUUCCAACAGGAAGAGUAUGAAUAAUUCAUCUAAGUAAGAGGAGGGAAGGAACAGUUAUGAAGGUACAGAUGAAGGUGAUGAGUGGCCACUGGUGGAGUCAGACCACUGUGUAUAUUGUAAAGGAUAUCUUUAGAAGCAAUGACCCAGGAUAAAA